AUACGGAGGGUGCAAGCGUUACUCGGAGUCACUGGGCGUAAAGCGCGCGCAGGCGGCUAUUUAAGUUGGAUGUGAAAGCCUACGGCUCAACCGUAGAACUGCAUCCAAAACUAUUUAGCUAGAGUGUGGGAGAGGAAGAUGGAAUUAGUUGUGUAGGGGUAAAAUCCGUAGAGAUAACUAGGAAUACCAAAAGCGAAGGCAAUCUUCUGGAACACUACUGACGCUGAGGCGCGAAAGCGUGGGGAGCAAACGGGAUUAGAAACCCCAGUAGUCC
rnacentral:rRNA from 1 species